rnacentral:rRNA from 1 species
GACGAACGCUGGCGGCGUGCUUAACACAUGCAAGUCGAACGGAAAGGCCCUGCUUUUGUGGGGUGCUCGAGUGGCGAACGGGUGAGUAACACGUGAGUAACCUGCCCUUGACUUUGGGAUAACGUCAGGAAACUGGGGCUAAUACCGGAUAGGAGCUCCUGCUGCAUGGUGGGGGUUGGAAAGUUUCGGCGGUUGGGGAUGGACUCGCGGCUUAUCAGCUUGUUGGUGGGGUAGUGGCUUACCAAGGCUUUGACGGGUAGCCGGCCUGAGAGGGUGACCGGCCACAUUGGGACUGAGAUACGGCCCAGACGCCUACGGGAGGCAGCAGUGGGGAAUAUUGCACAAUGGGCGGAAGCCUGAGGCAGCAACGCCGCGUGCGGGAUGACGGCCUUCGGGUUGUAAACCGCUUUCGCCUGUGACGAAGCGUGAGUGACGGUAAUGGGUAAAGAAGCACCGGCUAACUACGUG